UACGGGGGGGGCAAGCGUUAUUCGGAUUAAAUGGGCGUAAAGGAUGCGUAGGCAAACUAAAUGAGGUGUACCGAAAUUUCAAUAGUAAUAUUGACAGGGUUGUACAUCAACCAUUUGGAAGUGAGUUUAAUCGGGGUUAGGGGAAUUUCUAGAGGAGGGGUCCAAUCCAUCGAUACUACUAAGAAUACCGGCGGCGAAAGCACCUUUCCAGAUUAAACUGACGUUGAGGCAUGAAGGUGUGGGGAGCAAAUGGG
rnacentral:rRNA from 1 species